rnacentral:rRNA from 1 species
AGUGAACGCUGGCGGCAUGCCUAACACAUGCAAGUCGAGCGGCAGCGGGUCCUUCGGGAUGCCGGCGAGCGGCGGACGGGUGAGGAAUGCAUCGGAAUCUGCCCUGUCGUGGGGGAUAACCUAGGGAAACUUAGGCUAAUACCGCAUACGACCCACGGGUGAAACCGGGGGAUCGCAAGACCUCGCGCCAUAGGAUGAACCGAUGUCCGAUUAGCUAGUUGGCGGGGUAAAGGCCCACCAAGGGGACGAUCGGUAGCUGGUCUGAGAGGAUGAUCAGCCACACUGGGACUGAGACACGGCCCAGCCUCCUAGGGGAGGAAGCAGUGGGGAAUAUUGGACAAUGGGCGAAAGCCUGAUCCAGCCAUGCGGCGUGGGUGAAGAAGGCCUUCGGGUUGUAAAGCCCUUUUGUCCGGGAAGAAAUCGUCUGGGCUAAUACCCCGGGCGGAUGACGGUAACGGAAGAAUAAGCACCGGCUAACUUCGUG